AAUUUAACAUUGUGCGAAACUUAUAUAUGCUCAUAAUUGGAUGAGCGUUUCUACCAACUACCGUAAUAGUUGUCUAUAAGUUUUCCCGGCAAUCAA
rnacentral:ncRNA from 2 species